rnacentral:rRNA from 1 species
CCUACGGGUGGCUGCAGUGGGGAAUAUUGGACAAUGGGCGAAAGCCUGAUCCAGCCAUGCCGCGUGUGUGAAGAAGGCCUUCGGGUUGUAAAGCACUUUCAGUGGGGAAGAAAGCCUUGGGGCUAAUACCCUCGAGGAAGGACAUCACCCACAGAAGAAGCACCGGCUAACUCCGUGCCAGCAGCCGCGGUAAUACGGAGGGUGCGAGCGUUAAUCGGAAUUACUGGGCGUAAAGCGCGCGUAGGCGGUCUGAUAAGCCGGUUGUGAAAGCCCCGGGCUCAACCUGGGAACGGCAUCCGGAACUGUCAGGCUAGAGUGCAGGAGAGGAAGGUAGAAUUCCCGGUGUAGCAGUGAAAUGCGUAGAGAUCGGGAGGAAUACCAGUGGCGAAGGCGGCCUUCUGGACUGACACUGACGCUGAGGUGCGAAAGCGUGGGUAGCAAACAGGAUUAGAUACCCCGGUAGUC